CAGUGCCCAGCUGGGCCUGGGGCCUGGAAACACUCACUGCCCUCGUUCGACGGCCUGGAGAAGCACCUACCUCGCUGCUGGAGAGAAGCAGACACUGCAGGGCUGGAGAAGGAAAAGGUCUCAUGUGCUGAGAGAGAAUCACCUCCCCGUGGACUCAGAGAGGAAACAGGAAAAUCCGAACAGAAGAGUCCACUGCUGCCAACCCAAGACCAGAGCCACAGGCACUCCCCGCUUCUGUUUUAUAGACCAUGCCAGGACAAGUGGAACAGGCUGAAACCAGGACACUGAACUUCAUCCACCAAGCCACACUCUCAUAGACCCGAGCUUUGAUUCACAACCAGCCAGCAGCCUGUUUCUGUAGAUGGGGCUGGGGAGGAAGGAGGAUGCUGGCCGUGCUACUGUUCUGCGAACUGAGAGCCCUGCGUAGAGGGCACUCCACUUCGUUCCACAAAUGCAAAUAACCGGAUCCAUCAAGCCUUCA